rnacentral:sRNA from 1 species
UUCCACAGUAUGUUUGGCGACGACAGCCAC